rnacentral:lncRNA from 12 species
GCCCUGGUGGCCCUGGUGGCGCUGGCGGCGCGGAGGCGGCACAAGGAGACGAGAUAUGGGUGAGGGGACACCUGUGUGCCAUUGAUGUCACCUGCGUCACCUGUGUCAUCUGAGUGUGUCACCUGUGUGUCACACCUGUCACCUGUGUGUCACUAAUGUCACUUCUGUGUCACCUGUGUGAAUAAUGUCACCUGUGUCAUCUGAGUGAUUAAUGUCACCUGUGUCACCUGUGUCACCUGUGUGUCACUAAUGUCACACCUGUGUCCCCUGUCCCCAGCGCCGCGUUCUCUCCCGCCGUUCGUUUCCGUGUGCGCAGCUCCUACGGGCGCCGCUCAGCGCAGGCCACGCUGAACCGUUUGGGGAUCAGCCCUGAGCUCAAGGAGAAGCUCCGGGACGUUCUCGUCGAGCGGCACCGGGUGGCGCUGGGCAAGACGCUGGGCGAGGGUGGGUGCCCCAAAUCCCCCGAAAUCACCCCAAAACCCCCCACAACCACCCCACAAUUUCCCCCAAAAUCCUCCCCGAAAAUUCCUCCAAAGUCCCCCAAAUCCACCCAACCCCCCCCAACCCCCCCCCCCCCCCCCCCCCCCCCCCCCCCCCCCCCCCCCCCCCCCCCCCCCCCCCCCCCCCCCCCCCCCCCCCCCCCCCCCCCCCCCC